rnacentral:rRNA from 1 species
CCUACGGGAGGCAGCAGUGGGGAAUUUUGGACAAUGGGCGCAAGCCUGAUCCAGCAAUGCCGCGUGCAGGAUGAAGGCCUUCGGGUUGUAAACUGCUUUUGUACGGAACGAAACGGUGAGCUCUAAUACAGUUUGCUAAUGACGGUACCGUAAGAAUAAGCACCGGCUAACUACGUGCCAGCAGCCGCGGUAAUACGUAGGGUGCGAGCGUUAAUCGGAAUUACUGGGCGUAAAGCGUGCGCAGGCGGUGAUGUAAGACAGAUGUGAAAUCCCCGGGCUCAACCUGGGACCUGCAUUUGUGACUGCAUCGCUAGAGUACGGUAGAGGGGGAUGGAAUUCCGCGUGUAGCAGUGAAAUGCGUAGAUAUGCGGAGGAACACCGAUGGCGAAGGCAAUCCCCCUGGACCUGUACUGACGCUCAUGCACGAAAGCGUGGGGAGCAAACAGGAUUAGAUACCCUGGUAGUCCACGCCCUAAACGAUGUCAACUGGUUNUUGGGUCUUCACUGACUCAGUAACGAAGCUAACGCGUGAAGUUGACCGCCUGGGGAGUACGGCCGCAAGGUUGAAACUCAAAUGAAUUGACGGCUUGAGACGNGCGAGGAGACACGAGGGAGAGG